GAUGAACGCUAGCUACAGGCUUAACACAUGCAAGUCGAGGGGAAACGAUAUUGGAAGCUUGCUUCCGAUAGGCGUCGACCGGCGCACGGGUGAGUAACGCGUAUCCAACCUGCCCAUCACUUGGGGAUAACCUUGCGAAAGUAAGACUAAUACCCAAUGACGUCUCUAGAAGACAUCUGAAAGAGAUUAAAGAUUUAUCGGUGAUGGAUGGGGAUGCGUCUGAUUAGCUUGUUGGCGGGGUAACGGCCCACCAAGGCGACGAUCAGUAGGGGUUCUGAGAGGAAGGUCCCCCACAUUGGAACUGAGACACGGUCCAAACUCCUACGGGAGGCAGCAGUGAGGAAUAUUGGUCAAUGGACGAGAGUCUGAACCAGCCAAGUAGCGUGCAGGAAGACGGCCCUAUGGGUUGUAAACUGCUUUUAUAGGGAAUAAAGUGAGUCUCGUGAGACUUUUUGCAUGUACCUUAUGAAUAGGACCGGCUAAUUCCGUGCCAGCAGCCG
rnacentral:rRNA from 1 species